rnacentral:rRNA from 1 species
GAUGAACGCUGGCGGCGUGCCUAAUACAUGCAAGUCGAACGGACAGACGCUACUUUUGCUUCUCUGACGCUAGCGGCGCACGUGUGAGUAACACGUGUAUAACCCCCCUAUCAUACUGGUAUCAUUUCGAGAAUCCGGAGCUUAUCCCGGAUAAUCUUUUGCACCGCAUUGUUCAAAAGUGAAAUUCGGUCUUUCUGUCACUUCUCGCUGCUUCCGGGCUGCAUUAGCUAGUUGGUCGGGUAACGGCUUACCUAGGCAACGAUGCCUAGCCGAUCUGAGAGGGUGAUCGGCCACACUGGAACUGAGACACGGUCCAGACUCCUACGGGAGGCAGCAGUGGGGAAUAUUGCGCAAAGGGCGCAAGCCUGAUGCAGCCAUGCCGCGUGUGUGAAGAAGGCCUUCGGGUCGUAAAGUACUUUCAGCGGGGAGGAAGAGAGUAAAGUUAAUACGUUGGCUCAUUGACGGUACCCGCAGAAGAAGCACCGGCUAACUACGUG